rnacentral:misc_RNA from 1 species
UACCUUCUCUCAUUCCUUUUACUUUCAUAAUUCCUUUAAUCAUCUAAUCUUUUCCCUCACAUUGCGCCCUCUGGCAUUCCGGGGGGCAUGCCUGUCCGAGCGUCAUUACGCACCCUCAAGCCCGGCUUGUGUGAUGGGCCCUGGCGUCUCGUUCGCGAGACGGGCCCGAAAGGCAGCGGCGGCGUCGACCCGAUGAGCCCGAGCGUAUGGGGACUUUUGUCACACGUUUGCGGUGCGGACCGGCGCCUGCUUGACUUUUCUGAUUAUCCAGGUUGACCUCGGAUCAGGUUGGGAUACCCGCUGAACUUAAGC